AUUUUUGAAAAAUUUCUCUUUUCGUUUCAUUGUAUGGUGCCCUAUUAUAUAUCUAUACAAUCUUAUAGUCUACAAGGAAAUUAAAUAAAUUACAAUCUCCAAAAAUAGCAUAUCUAAUCUAUUCCAAAAUUAACUUAAAUAUAUACGGUAACAUCCCCCAUCAAAUUGCUGCUGGGAAGUUAACCAACAACAAUUUGCCAACAAGAAAUUGAUACCGUUGUUGAGUCAAUGCUUUGGUGUAGACUUUCGCCAUUUGAAGGUCAGAAGAAAUGUAGGGAAGGGAGAUCACUCGAUCCUCCAAAAUAUCACGAAUAAAAUGACAAUCAACUUUAAUGUGCUUGAUGCGUUCAUGGAAGACAAGACUGUUUGCAAUUUGAAUGGCAGUAAUGUUGUCCGCAUGAAGGGGAGUAGAAUUAGUUUGAGAAAACCCAAGUUCUUUGAGUAGACCACGUAAUAAAAUAAUUUCAGAACAAGCCGUGGACAUGGCAUGAUAUUCAGCUUCAGUAGAUGAUUUAGAAACACGAUCUUGUUUCUUACAUUUCGAAGAGAUCAACGCAUCGCUCAAAAACAUACACUAACCCGUAGUUGAGCGAUGAGUAUUUGGACACCCAGCCCAAUCAGCAUCACUAUAGGCAGAAAGUUGAAAAGAAUACUCUCUAGGAAAGAGCAACUCACGAGUAGGUGAUCCAUGAAGAUAACGAACAAUGCGGCGAACAACAGCUAGAUGAAGAUGUUGAGGACUAGACAUAAACUGACUAACCGGAUGGACAUCAUAGGAAAUAUCUGGACAAGUGGUGGUCAAAUAGAUAAGACUCCCAACUAAGCUGCGAUAUAGAGUAGGAUCAUCUAGAAUAUCCCCUUUAUCUUUCCUGUACUUUACAUUUACUUCCAUUGGAACGUCCACCGAAGAAGAGUCUCCCAAA
rnacentral:lncRNA from 1 species